rnacentral:rRNA from 1 species
UACGGGGGGAGCAAGCGUUGUUCGGAUUUACUGGGCGUAAAGGGCGCGUAGGCGGUAGUGACAAGUCACUUGUGAAAUCUCCGGGCUUAACUCGGAACGGUCAAGUGAUACUGUCGGACUAGAGUACAGAAGGGGCAACUGGAAUUCUCGGUGUAGCGGUGAAAUGCGUAGAUAUCGAGAGGAACACCUGCGGCGAAGGCGGGUUGCUGGGCUGAUACUGACGCUGAGGCGCGAAAGCCAGGGGAGCGAACGGG